CUUUCCCUGGCUGACAGAAAUCUGCCUUCGAGUAGGUGUUGCAGGUCAUGCCCUUCAUAAAAGGAGGGGUUUCUCCCUCAUAUCAUCAAAAAACAAAUUAUUCUGCCAAGCAAGGAGCAUGUUUUAGCUUAGUCACCACAGAAGAAACAGAUCACUUUUAAUUAUGACAUUUCAUCAACACUUGGCAAGUAAGAAAGAUGGGUUGAAAGAUUGCAUCGGAAAUAUUCUAGAGUUAUUUUCCUGCUAACAUGGAAACAAAAAGAUUCAAUGUGAGAAGAAAAAAUAGAUUCCUAAUGGUCAAGAGAACAAGAAAAUUAGAUAGAAACUUAAAGUACCCGCAAGUCAAAAUGUUUGAAAUGACACUUAGCACCUUAAUUAGCCAGAUUUUAAGAU
rnacentral:lncRNA from 1 species